GACGAACGCUGGCGGCGUGCCUAAUACAUGCAAGUUGAGCGAUGAAGCUUGGUGCUUGCACCCAUUUGAAGAGCAGCGAACGGGUGAGUAACGCGUGGGUAAUCUGCCUUUGAGCGGGGGACAACAUUUGGAAACGAAUGCUAAUACCGCAUAACAACUUUAAACAUAAGUUUUAAGUUUGAAAGAUGCAACUGCAUCACUCAAAGAUGAUCCCGCGUUGUAUUAGCUAGUUGGUGAGGUAAAGGCUCACCAAGGGGAUGAUACAUAGCCGACCUGAGAGGGUGAUCGGCCAAAAUGGGACUGAGACACGGCCCAAACUCCUACGGGAGGCAGCAGGAGGGAAUCUUCGGCAAUGGACGAAAGUCUGGCCGAGCAACGCCGCGUGAGGGAAGAAGGUUGUCGGAUCGUAAAACUCUGUUGGUAGAGAAGAACGUUGGUGAGAGUGGAAAGCUCAUCAAGUGACGGUAACUACACAGAAAGGGACGGCUAACUACGUG
rnacentral:rRNA from 1 species